AUUGAACGCUGGCGGCAGGCCUAACACAUGCAAGUCGAGCGGAUGAAGGGAGCUUGCUCCUGGAUUCAGCGGCGGACGGGUGAGUAAUGCCUAGGAAUCUGCCUGGUAGUGGGGGAUAACGUCCGGAAACGGGCGCUAAUACCGCAUACGUCCUGAGGGAGAAAGUGGGGGAUCUUCGGACCUCACGCUAUCAGAUGAGCCUAGGUCGGAUUAGCUAGUUGGUGGGGUAAAGGCCUACCAAGGCGACGAUCCGUAACUGGUCUGAGAGGAUGAUCAGUCACACUGGAACUGAGACACGGUCCAGACUCCUACGGGAGGCAGCAGUGGGGAAUAUUGGACAAUGGGCGAAAGCCUGAUCCAGCCAUGCCGCGUGUGUGAAGAAGGUCUUCGGAUUGUAAAGCACUUUAAGUUGGGAGGAAGGGCAGUAAGUUAAUACCUUGCUGUUUUGACGUGACCAACAGAAUAAGCACCGGCUAACUUCGUG
rnacentral:rRNA from 1 species